GGCCUGCCCGACACUCUUUCCCUGUUGCACUACUGUGGGCCGCUGGGAAGCAGUGCAAUGAUGAAAGGGCAUUGGUCAGGUC
ensembl:miRNA